rnacentral:rRNA from 1 species
AUGUGGCGCCAUGCAGCGGCCCGGCGGUCGGCGCAGAUCCGGCGGCUCCUUUCCACGUCCGCCCCCUCGGCGGGCGCCGUGCGCGGCCCCUGCAUCGUGCACAAGCGCGGCACCGACAUCCUCCACGACCCCUGGUACAACAAGGACACGGCGUUCCCCCUCACGGAGCGGGACCGCCUCGGCCUCCGGGGCCUGNNNNNNNNNNNNNNNNNNNNNNNNNNNNNNNNNNNNNNNNNNNNNNUAAACUCGUACCAUUCGCUGGAGCACAACACGCAGGGGGAGCCCGAUUCCGUGGUCUCGCUGGCCAAGUGGAGGAUCCUUAACAGGCUGCACGACCGGAACGAGACGUUGUACUACAGGGUGCUAAUUGACAAUAUCAAGGAUUUCGCGCCCAUAAUAUACACCCCUACUGUCGGCUUGGUCUGCGAAAACUACAGCGGGCUGUUCAGGCGUCCCCGCGGGAUGUACUUCAGUGCAAAGGAUAAAGGGGAGAUGAUGUCGAUGAUUUACAACUGGCCGGCAGAGAAGGUUGACAUGAUAGUUGUGACUGACGGGAGUCGCAUUCUAGGUUUAGGUGAUCUUGGAGUUCAAGGCAUAGGUAUACCUAUUGGUAAACUUGAUGUUUAUGUUGCAGCUGCUGGUAUCAACCCACAGAAGGUUCUCCCAAUAAUGCUUGAUGUGGGAACAAAUAAUGAAGAACUCCUUGAAGACAAGCUAUAUUUAGGAUUGAGGCAACCUAGGUUGGAAGGAGAGGAAUACUUAGCUGUUGUAGAUGAGUUCAUGGAAGCUGUUCAUGCACGCUGGCCGAAAGCAAUUGUGCAGUUUGAAGACUUCCAAAUGAAAUGGGCAUUUGAAACUCUUCAGAGGUAUCGGAGCCGAUUUUGCAUGUUCAAUGAUGACGUGCAGGGGACAGCAGGAGUUGCUCUAGCUGGUCUACUUGGAGCUGUUAGAGCACAAGGUCGACCGCUCGCAGAUUUUACUAAGCAGAAGAUAGUUGUGGUGGGAGCUGGAAGUGCUGGGAUAGGUGUGCUUAACAUGGCUAAACAUGCAAUGUUAAGGAUGCCAGGGACCCAUAAAAUUGGAGAACUGGGUGAAGGACACAAUCAAUUCUGGGUUCUGGACAAAGAUGGCCUUAUUACCAAAAGUAGAAAAGAUCUGGAUCCAGCUGUUGCUCGUUUUGCUAGAGGUUAUGGUCCUGAAGAGGUCGAAGAUCUCCAUGAGGGGGCUAGUCUUGUUGAAGUGGUCAAGAAAGUGAAGCCUCAUGUCCUUUUAGGACUAUCUGGAGUUGGCGGGAUAUUUAACGAGGAGGUUCUCAAGGCUAUGAAAGAAUCUGACUCCCCCUGCCCUGCAAUUUUUGCAAUGUCCAACCCAACUACUAAAGCUGAAUGUACGCCUGAAGAUGUAUUCAAGCAUGUUGGAGAAAAUGCAGUAUUUGCCAGUGGAAGCCCUUUCAGCAAUGUUACUUUAAGCAAUGGUAGAAAAGGCUAUGCUAAUCAAGCAAACAACAUGUAUCUGUUUCCUGGGAUUGGUUUAGGAGCCCUUCUGUCAGGUGCUCGGCAUAUUUCGGAUGGCAUGCUCCAUGCUGCAGCUGAGUGCCUUGCUUCAUACAUCACAGAUGAUGCGAUUCGAAAAGGAAUCCUCUUUCCUUCAAUUUCAAGUAUCAGGCACAUCACCGCACGUGUCGGCGCUGCAGUCGCCCGUGCUGCCGUUGAUGAAGAUCUGGCCGAGGGAUGCUCUGACUUGGAUCCUCGGGACCUCAGGAGCAUGUCAGAGUCGGAUACGGUGGAUUACGUGGCUCGGAAGAUGUGGUACCCUGUUUACAGCCCACUCGUCAACGACAAAUAG